UACGUAGGGCGCAAGCGUUGUCCGGAAUUAUUGGGCGUAAAGAGCUCGUAGGCGGCUUGUCGCGUCGACUGUGAAAACCCGAGGCUCAACUUCGGGCUUGCAGUCGAUACGGGCAGGCUAGAGUUCGGUAGGGGAGACUGGAAUUCCUGGUGUAGCGGUGAAAUGCGCAGAUAUCAGGAGGAACACCGAUGGCGAAGGCAGGUCUCUGGGCCACUACUGACGCUGAGAAGCGAAAGCAUGGGGAGCGAACAGG
rnacentral:rRNA from 1 species